AACGUACGCUGGCGGCACGCCUAACACAUGCAAGUCGAACGCAGUAGCAAUACUGAGUGGCAAACGGGUGAGUAUAAUGUGGGAAUCUGCCUUUUGGUUCGGAAUAACACGAGGAAACUUGUGCUAAUACCGGAUAAGCCCUUACGGGGAAAGUUUUAAUGCCAAAAGAUGAGCCCGCACUUGAUUAGCUAGUUGGUAAGGUAAUGGCUUACCAAGGCAACGAUCAAUAGCUGUUCUUAGAGGAAGACCAGCCACAUUGGGACUGAGACACGGCCCAAACUCCUACGGGAGGCAGCAGUGGGGAAUCUUGCACAAUGGGGGAAACCCUGAUGCAGCGAUGCCGCGUGAGUGAAGAAGGCCCUUGGGUUGUAAAACUCUUUCGUCGGGGAAGAAAAUGACUGUACCCGAAUAAGAAGGUCCGGCUAACUUCGUGCCAGCAGCCGCGGUAAUACGAAGGGACCUAGCGUAGUUCGGAAUUACUGGGCUUAAAGAGUUCGUAGGUGGUUAAAAAAGUUGAUGGUGAAAUCCCAAGGCUCAACCUUGGAACUGCCAUCAAAACUUUUUAGCUAGAGUGUGAUAGAGGAAAGUGGAAUUUCUAGUGUAGAGGUGAAAUUCGUAGAUAUUAGAAAGAACAUCAAAAGCGAAGGCAACUUUCUGGAUCAUUACUGACACUGAGGAACGAAAGCAUGGGUAGCGAAGAGGAUUAGAUACCCUCGUAGUCCAUGCCGUAAACGAUGUGUGCUAGACGUUGGAAACUUAGUUUUCAGUGUCGCAGCGAAAGCAUUAAGCACACCGCCUGGGGAGUACGACCGCAAGGUUAAAACUCAAAUGAAUUGACGGGGACCCGCACAAGUAGUGGAGCAUGUGGUUUAAUUCGAAGAUACGCGCAGAACCUUACCAACACUUGACAUGUUCGUCGCGACUCUGAGAGAUCAGAGU
rnacentral:rRNA from 1 species